GAUGAACGCUGGCGGCGUGCUUAACACAUGCAAGUCGAACGGAAAGGCUCCUGCUUGCAGGGGUACUCGAGUGGCGAACGGGUGAGUAACACGUGGGUGAUCUGCCCUGCACUUCGGGAUAAGCCUGGGAAACUGGGUCUAAUACCGGAUAGGACCACAUUUUGGAUGGUGUGGUGGAAAGUUUUUCGGUGUGGGAUGAGCUCGCGGCCUAUCAGCUUGUUGGUGGGGUAAUGGCCUACCAAGGCGUCGACGGGUAGCCGGCCUGGGAGGGUGUACGGCCACAUUGGGACUGAGAUACGGCCCAGACUCCUACGGGAGGCAGCAGUGGGGAAUAUUGCACAAUGGGCGCAAGCCUGAUGCAGCGACGCCGCGUGGGGGAUGACGGCCUUCGGGUUGUAAACUCCUUUCGCUAGGGACGAAGCGCAAGUGACGGUACCUGGAGAAGAAGCACCGGCUAACUACGUG
rnacentral:rRNA from 1 species